UCGAGAAUCUUCCGCAAUGGACGAAAGUCUGACGGAGCGACGCCGCGUGAUGGAUGAAGUCCCUAGGGACGUAAACAUCUUUUAUGAGGGAGAAAGUUUAUUGAUAGUACCUCAUGAAUAAGGGGUUGCUAAACUCGUGCCAGCAGCAGCGGUAAUACGAGUGCCCCGAGCGUUAUCCGGAAUCAUUGGGCGUAAAGGGUGUGUAGGUGGUUGUGUUAGUCGAUUGUUAAAACCCGGGGCUCAACUCCGGAACCGCGAUCGAAACGGCACAACUAGAGGAUGGCAGGGAUGUAUGGAACUCAUGGAGUAGGGGUGAAAUCCGUUGAUAUCAUGGGGAACACCAAAAGCGAAGGCAGUACAUUGGGCCACUCCUGACACUGAAACACGAAAGCGUGGGUAGCGAAUGGG
rnacentral:rRNA from 1 species